rnacentral:lncRNA from 1 species
UGGAAGUAUUCACUAGAUAUUCACCAGCGUCCUUUGGCUCCUUUUGUCCAAGUCCAGACCACGUGCAGCAUUCCACCGGGACAGACGUGCGCUCACCUGAAGAUGUGCCUCUCACCUCCUUCUAUCCAAGAAAGAUGGCCCAGAAGAAGAGUUUACAGUAUGAAGAUAAAUGCUAUCAACAACACUGGAUCCUAGCUGUGCAUCCCUCUGAGACAAGAGCUCACCAUCUUUCCUGCUGCUGCCUGGGCCAUGUCAGUCUGCCUACCCCAUCCUCCCUGUGUCCCCAGCAGCUCCUGGGGAGCAUGUGCUGCACAAGGAACAAGAGGCCCUAAUGCAGCGGCCAACCCAAGGCCCUGUCACACAUCCAUGCUCAGUGCAGUUGUGUCGGUGCUGGCACCUGGCCCUGAGGGCAGGGAGCCCUGUGCCAGCCAUGAGCUCUGCGCCAGGAUGUUCUCCUCCAGGCACUCUGCUGGCGUCGCUGUGCUCAGGGCUGCCAAAGCUGCCUGCACGAACAAACACAGAGCUCUGGAACUGCCACCUGGCUGUCUCUCGAGCUCUCUUCUUUUAUUUAUCUCGGUAGCAGCAGCAGCCAAGGUUUGGAGCAGGCUGUGGCAUCAGGAGCUGGAGAAUCGCAGGAACAUCACUGGGCUCAGCAACCGGUGCUUCACACAUACAUAAUAAAGGCAAUGCUGAAUCAACCUCAUUCACAGCGGAGCAUGUGCAAGCAUGCACACUUCUUACAGGAGGCACACAAUGGCUCAUUUCCAGGAUGGGAUGCAUCCUACUCAGUGAGUGCAUGGUCUGGUGCCUUGCUGUCAGCCACCUUGAACCCCAGCUGGUGUCCCUUGUGCCACCACCCAGCUUCACCUGAGAGAGAGAGGAGAAGGGGUGCAAGGCUUUGCUGGCUGAUUCUGGGCUUUAUCCCAGCAAAGCAUAGUGGUUGGAGCAGGGAAGAGGAAAAGAAGCUGCUGUUUUUGGAGGGAAAACAUUACAUCCCUGGGACUCCUUGAUCAGCCUUCUGUCCAGCCCCUACUGCUUGCAUAUGCCAGGCAGCACAAGUUCUUUCCCAGAGUUUGGGUCUUUCUACAACAUAAAAGUGUUAUAAGCUACUCAUCUGCAGCUGAAUUGCUUUUCCUGGGCUAGGCGCAUUAAUUACUGCAGCAUGUGCUGCCAAAUUAAGAGUUUGGGGAAAAAAAUCAGUGAGUGCCAAGUAAUCCAUCUUAAAAAGCCACCUGCACUAGGAAAGGAAACAAAGGGUCUAGGGGUACCUGGAAACUUAACUUCACCAAAGGGGCAGCCAAUGGGUAGACUUUAGUCCUCCCUCUCUUCUUUUCCUCCUUCUUUGCUUUGCCUUUUGUCCUUUGCCUUUUCCUUGCUUUCCUUGUGUCCUUUCCUUUCGUUUUCAUUCUUCCCUGCCAAUUAGUGGUCUUAAAGUAACAGCAGCAAUAAAAGUGAGAAGAAGAAUCA